UUUUCUCACGAUCCAUCCAUAUUCAAUCUCUCCAUUUCUCCACUAUCUUCUCCAUUUUUUUCUUCCUCAAACUUAUUUCUUCAUCAUUCAUUCUUCUUCCUCAAAAAAAUUUCUUCAUCCAAAUUAUCACUAUUUCUUACUAACAAGGUAACAUUUUUACUGGACAAGGUAACAUUUUUUUACUCAUUACACCUUACUUCAAACUUGUUGGUCUUACUCAGUCUGUUUUGUUUUUUCAAGAAGAGGAAGCCAUGGGAAUCUUGAGAAAGGAAAAAUAAAAAAAACAUUUUUUGUUUGUUUUUUGUUUUCCUGAAAGGAUCCCUUAGGGGAUUUGGUUUGGCAAACCUAUCAAAGUGGUUAAAUAAAUGGAAAUGGAGAAAAGGGUGAAGCGUGAUUAAGUUAAAGUGCAAGGGUGUUAUUGAUUUAAAAGAAAAGUGGUUAAGAAGAUGUCAAGAGGAUGAGGAGAUUUUCAAAUCCUUUUUUCCUUUCCCUUUUAAAACCUUAUAAUAAAUUUAUCAUUAUGGAAUCUAACAAUAUCCAUCACAACCAACAAGAUCAACCUCCUCAUCCUAAGACCUCAUCUUUAUAUGGAUCACUUGGUGGUGGUAGCCAUUCUUAGACCCCAAAUAUUACUUUAUAAGUCUCUUAUUAUACUUUAUUGAAUACGUUAUCUAGUUUUUACAUUAUGUGUAUGAGUUGAUUUCUUUACUUUACUAUUGCUAAUGUUUGUUUCUACUUUUGCUUAAAUCUCAUGCUAUCAAUAUAUGACCUCUUAUGUGUUUCAGUCGGUUGUCUUUUGCUUACAACCAGUUCAUAAAGUAACUAAUGCAUUAAAGGUAUACUUGGUUUAAUUGAUAACAUAUAUAAAGGUAGAUUUGAGACGUUUUUGUACAUAUAUAUGCGGAGAAUAGAUUCAAAGGAUCAAGGCCAAUAACUCUGGUAUUAAUCACAGAGAAGCAUUUAAUCCUGCUGCAAAGAAUGUAAGGACCAAAUUAAAUAUCUGUAUAUAAAUAAAUAAAUAUGUAUACUCACUUGAUAUAACUUAAUGAGUGGAAAAUAUUUCAUUUUUAGUUGGCACAUUUUCCUCAUAUUCAUUUUGGAAUGAUGUUGGAGAGUAGCAAUAAUCAUAUAUAUGAAGGUUUAUUUGAUUAUAUUAAGGUCUCUGAUAAGCAUUUGAUGUGGAUGUUGUUGAACAAAUAAAGGAUAUAUACUCCAUCAUUUCUCACUGCUUAAGUUUAAUUUCAGCCUAUCAAUUAAACAAUGUCCCAAGUUGUAAAGAGUUUUAAGGACAAUUAACUAUUUUAAUUUGUUAUCAUUAUCACUGGAUAAUGUCAUUUUGUGAUAAUGUCAAGCCAUAAUUUCAAAGCAUACAUUUUGUGAUAAUAACAUUUUUAUUGGGUUUAAUUUCAAAUUUGGGAAUUGCUUAAGUAAGAACUUAGAUUUGAAAAUACAGCCACCCAUAGAGGGAGACAUGGAUCUUAAGGUAUUUUCCAACAUUUCCUGUAUGCAUUCUUCCUUCUCAUUAUUCUAACUUUCUAUUUAUUUUCAGUCAUCUUUUCAUUUUGCCUCCACAAUCGGGUUAGUUAACUCUAAUUAUAAUACAAUCUUCAACAUAUUAUUUAGUUUUGUUCAAUAUUCAAUCUAAUAUUUAGAUAAAUGUAACUAUUGUGGCGUUUGGGUUUCUAACUUCCCUUGAUCUCUUUGCAAAUGAUUCUACGAGACAACAUGAAUUUGCAAUUGCAUAUACUUCUUGCUUCAUCAGAGACAACACGAUUUUGAAUUUAGAAAGUCUUUUCAUGAACAAAGGCAUAUAUAAUUCCUACAUAAAAAAACACAAAUGGAAUAGAAUGAUGUUAGGUUCCAUUUCCAUUAUUUGGAUAGUUGAAGAUAGGAUAAAAUGGAACCGAAUAAAUGUUCUUCAAUUUCUGGCUCUAAGAUGACAUUAUUAUGUGAAGACUGAUAUUGUUUCUUCUUUUGAUGUCAUAGACUAUUAUCUGACAUAUCAAGAUGGGAGGCUAAGGUUCAGAGGCUUGAAGGACAAUUGCAAGUCAAAGACAUGAAGAUAAUGAGUGUUACUAGAACACCGAGGAUGUGCUUCAAAAUAUGUUUUUGAGAAGUUUAAACAAUUUUUUGAUCUUAUGUAAAAGAAAAAAAUUUGUAACUAUUUUUGCCACAAGCACACAACUUCUUUUGUUACAAAUUUAUGCAAUUAGAUUUAAUUUAAUUCUUUAUAAGAUUUCAUUCUUGUGAUUGUUGUAGUUGUCUAGGAAGCUAAAAAUAUUGUAGCUCUCAAGUCCCAAAUUGAGAAGUUGCAACAAGAGCGAGAUGAAUUUCAA
rnacentral:lncRNA from 1 species